GAUGAACGCUGGCGGCGUGCUUAACACAUGCAAGUCGAACGGAAAGGCUCCUGCUUGCAGGGGUACUCGAGUGGCGAACGGGUGAGUAACACGUGGGUGAUCCGCCCUGCACUUCGGGAUAAGCCUGGGAAACUGGGUCUAAUACCGGAUAGGACCACAUUUUGGAUGGUGUGGUGGAAAGUUUUUCGGUGUGGGAUGAGCUCGCGGCCUAUCAGCUUGUUGGUGGGGUAAUGGCCUACCAAGGCGUCGACGGGUAGCCGGCCUGAGAGGGUGUACGGCCACAUUGGGACUGAGAUACGGCCCGGACUCCUACGGGAGGCAGCAGUGGGGAAUAUUGCACAAUGGGCGCAAGCCUGAUGCAGCGACGCCGCGUGGGGGAUGACGGCCUUCGGGUUGUAAACUCCUUUCGCUAGGGACGAAGCGCAAGUGACGGUACCUGGAGAAGAAGCGCCGGCUAACUACGUG
rnacentral:rRNA from 1 species